rnacentral:lncRNA from 1 species
GUUAAACUCCACCAGGACAAGUUAAACUCCUGUAGCUCAUCGUCAAACGAAGAAUGAAGUCAUUUCAAACUUCUGUGCGCUGAAAAGUGGUGCAUCUGAGAUCAGGGUCGCAUCUUUGCUCCGAACACCCCCACCCGAGUAGGGUCGGACAGAGGGACCCAUUCAAGGGAGAAGCACUGUGCGUUCUGCACAGGCACGUUCUUGGGUGAUUUGUGGUUGGUGAACAAUGGAUGGAGCUUGGCAGAGCAGUGAAAUGGAGUGGAGCACUGGAUGAACGAAGGAACCAGGUUCCAGAAAUAAAAGAACCAGUCGCCAGAUGUCUCAGUUGCUUCAGUCACUUCCUUGUCAUCGGCAGCCACACAGGUGUGACUUCAAAUGUCGAAACAGUUCUGAUCGAGGUGUAUCUUCAAUGGAUUCAAACCAUGUAUGAAGUCAACUGCCAUUUGACUACUGUGUUGAAUACAAGAGCACACCCUCACGGCACACAAGCAUUGGAGGCCAUUUCCAUGCAUCAACUACUCUUUGAGUGAAAGUCCCCUGCCUUAUGACCAUCUUCACUCUCCUCUUCUUUACUCAAGAGAGUAAAUUAAAUGGCAACACUUGUCAAUAUUAAGUAAUUUUCAGAUGUUAUUGUGUUGUUCAGUUCAUUGGGCUGUCACGUGCAUGGAAUAUUUUUUGUUGUUUUGGUAAAAGUAGGAUUUCUUCAUAGAAAGCUAUUCGAUGUUGUGGUUUCCCUUCAGUUUCUUUUGGGCAUCUCAUAAAGGCACAUCCUACAUUUGGGUUUAAAUUCUGCCGUUGGGUUUGCAAUGCAUUUUCUUCAUUGUUUUGAUGAUCAAGCCAGGCAAACAAUAAGUUAUUGUUCAGAAAAGGCCUCUUUAUUGCUUGAUCUCACUUCAAAGCACACAGCAUAUUCACAAGACCUCAUCAAUUCUGUAAUGGAGCUAUUGAAGAAAUAAUGUGCCAAAGAUUCUGGAAGAAAUACAAAUUCAGAUCUCUUUUCAUAACAAAAUUAUUUUGUGGCAUUGCAGGAAUAGAAACUUCCUCAACGGUUAGGGCAUUUGUUACCUGCCAGUUGUCCUUCCAUUGAAAGAUUGCUGAAUACCUUUCCAGAACAUUAAAAACUGAUUGGUCUCCAAGGGUUACCAGGCAGGAGCUCAGAGCCAAGCCCCUUGGGCUUUCGAACAGCACGGCUGGCUUCUGGGUGGUUCAGUUAUUUUUAUCUUCUCAGAAUGACAAUGAGGUAUAGCAACCUCCUCUCAAUGUCGACAUAAGGGUGAAAUAUCCUGCACUUGCUUUGUUUAUAUGGCAUUCAUGCAUGAUUAAUGCCUCCACCUUGGCAACAGUUUGCGUCUGUCGCAUCUGCCUGUGCUCCUAAUCCAGGUGUACGGUAUGUCCAAGGGAUUCAUGCCCACGUUUAAAGUCAAGCGCCAUUUGACGAUUGUAGUCUGCAUUUCAUCUUCAGUCAGGAGAUCAUCACUGAUUGCAAUCAGUCUUCCACAACACGUAGUCAGAGCCCCAACAGUGAGGGCCUUUAAUAUUCUUGUAGAUCAUCACUGGAAAUGCGGGCAGAUCAGUUUGUGUUGACUCUCCCACAUGCCCUAUCAAAAGUAUCAACUUCACAAAGAACGGAACAAUCAAAAGGAUUAACCAUCCCCUCUUAUUGUAUAUAUUUCUGCAUUUAUGUAUGUCAAUGCUUUAAGUAACAUUGUGUGAGAAAGGCUGGGGUGGAGGGGGGGAGCACAGCACACCUUGUGAACAAAUAAUCACUUUGAAAACAUGAUAUACCAAAUAAAUUUGCACAUCAGUGAAAGCAUUUGCGAUUACACCUGUGUUCAGCCCAAUUGCUGAAUCUGCAGAUAGCAUCGGGUGAAACAGAACAUUGAAGUUUUAAAUGUUUUAUACUUUGUUUUGAACACAAUGGACUCGAGAGAAGAUAAUUUUUGAUAAGAUGAAUGCCAAUUUACAGACUCCUUUCAUUCAGACUUAUACUGACAAAUAUACAAUAAAUUUUGAAAUGUUAUAGCUCACUGAGGAGCCUGUGUACAUUAUUACCAAAGGGAUGUGGACACACCUGCACCAGACUGUGAAGGACUGAAGAGUACAGCUUGCUAUAUACUCCGAGUAGUUAUUUCGGUGAUAUAGUAGGUGGAUAGGAGGGUGGAGUUAUGAAACCUUCAUUAUCUCAAUAAUUAAUUUCUGCAUUUUAACCAUAAUUCUCUCUUUUGAUUGUCAUUUAGUCCCGAGUUUAAGGAUCUACACGGUGAUACGAUGUGAAAGCGUUUUUAGAGUCGCGCAGUCCAUUUAUAGUGUUGCCUCCUCAACUGGGAUUAUGAAACUUUACUCUUUCAUUUAAUCCAGGCAUGCCUCUUCCUGUCACAUCGCUGACAGGUCGAGUCAAAAGACAGCAUGUUGCACUUCACAAACAUAUUGGAUGUCCUUUAUGUGAAUCACACUGAGGAUGCAAAAUGAAGUGAAUAACAAGUGGAAAAGGGAUCUUUUAUAACAUGUAGUUGUUUGUUAUUGUUGUUGUUGUUGUUGUUGUUUGUGCACUCCUGUGUAUUUUUUUUAUUGCUUUUAGAAGUAUUACUAUGUAUAAUUUUGUGUGCUCCUUCUGUGUCCUUCUACAGGAUUCCAGAAUAGCAAGAGCGACAAUUGCUUUGCAAUACAUGUCCCCUACCGGUCCCAAUGAAUGUUUGGGAGAUUAAAAAAAAAUUUGCAUUUAAUGCAUGCUUGAGCCGAUACCGGAAUCAAAAUGAAGAAGAAGAGCCUAUCUACCCCACUGUUUCAUUAGUUUUUAGGCUUUGCCUAUUUAAUAUUAAAAAUACAGUCAAUUCUUGUUUAACGUUAUAGUUACUUUCUUGAAAAUUGUGACUUUUACUGAAACGGCUUUAAGCAAAUUCAAUUUCCCCAUAAUAAUUAAUGUAAAUGGGUA